rnacentral:lncRNA from 1 species
CUGAAUUUUUGCCCUUGUGCAAGUGAGGCUCUCAAUACAGACAGGAGCCUGGGAUGGAAUAGAAGUAGGGCCCGAUGAGGACCAUGUGCCUCUUUUCCUUACUCUUCUGUAUUCGGGCAGUCUCUGACGUGUCUAGAAUGCUAGAGGAAGGAUUCCAAGUCAUUAGAAAAGGACAUUUAUCAAGAUAGGAUGGAGUAUACUCCAUAAAGUAUAAUGAGCUCCACUUCAUUAUCCCGAGGGAAGAAAAAGUUAUGAUUGGAAAAGGACGUGGCCUGUUCCAUUUCUCGACUUGGGUGAUGAUUACAUAGAGGCUUAUUCUUGGGCUUUCUACAUUCCUUUCCAUGGAUGAGGGAUCUCUCAAUAAAAUGUUAAAAAAAAAAAAAAGCUAAAAAAUGUAUUGUUCUUAAUUAGGAAAAAAAAAAUCUGAUAUCUCAGAAAAGCCUUUCUUUUGAACUUGUUUACCACAGAUUAUACUACAUCUGUUCUAAAAAAUCUUGGCUCAGUGAUGAAAAUAAACAGGAAAAUUAAUGUACAUGCUCUAGAAGACAGCUAAAUACAUUAUAUAAUAUGUAUGUACAUGCAUAUCUAUCAAUGUGUGUAUGUUGGAUUUUUGUCCUCUCUUCCUCAGCCAGAGAAAGAAAACCAUUCUCUCUCCUCUUUGCAUUCUCAGUAGUUCCUGUGGGUUAAUGAGAAAAGUAUUUUCAAGCAUGUUUUUUUUUAAUUUGACUGUAAAGUCUGUGGUUUGUUUAUCCGAAAGAAGCAGCAAUGAUAAUUUAAGGCAAAGAAGAGUACUUAACUUUUUUCAGCUUGGAGAACCAUUGUGUAUAAAGUUUGUUUUAUAAUUUCAUGAAAAAAACACCGUGGAUAUGCUUUCCACAUCUAAAUAUUCAUAACAAAGACUUUUCUCUGCUUUUAUCUUUCAGGUGUCAUCUUCACCGAAUCAAGAAAGUAAUACAGAAGAUCAAGUGUGGCACUUCCUUGGCAAGUGAUGGAACAUUUGAAGUUUGGCUAUCAAGACUCCCCAUCUCCAAGGUCUCCACGACUCCCUUUCCUCCAAGUGCUAGCAACAGGCAGAUCUAUGAGGAUUUACUGAUUUCCUGUUGAAACCUCAUUGUUUUUCCAGCCUUUUUUGAGAUACACAAUAUGUAAAUAAAGACCGAUAUUUUAAAAUU